rnacentral:ncRNA from 2 species
AAGUGUCUUCAGGGCAGGGUGUAAUUCCCGACCGGCGGUGACUGAUAUUUUGAAUGAUUUACUUUUUCUGCUUGUUCAGGCUGCUCAUUUAAAGCAGCGCUGCAAGGCAGGGGAAAAGUAGGUGCUAAAUUUAUCAGAAGUCCGCGAGCGUAAAGCUGAUGUGGUGUGAUUCCGCAACCGACAGUAAAGUCUGGAUGGGAGAAGACAAAG